rnacentral:lncRNA from 1 species
CCAACAUUCAACUUUCCAGAGUGUGACAAUCUGUGCUUUAUGCAGAGGAUCGUAUCCAUACAAAAACAGAAAACGACAGUGGAAGACACUCUGGAGGAGCAUAGAAUCAUAGAAUGAAUUAAGACAACAGACUAGAUGGGGAGCAAUAUGUCACCUUCUCUGGACACUGAUUUCUUCAGAAGGCAUUUUCCUGCAACAUGAAUAUUGGGUUCAAGUCUCCAUUUUUAAUGUGACAGAGUUCGGGCAUGAUGGUAAUAUUUCUGCCAAAAUCGACUACAGUAAUCUUAAUUCCCUAUAGGCAGCCUAAUGCCUGAAGACUGACGGCAAGGAAAUCUAUACUGGAAAUGAAUUUCCAUUGACAAAACUUAAUAGUUUGUCAUUGACAAGGCCUUCAGUCACUUUGAAGAAUUGGGAAAAUAGGGCCAUCAGUAGUUUUCGGUAUGUUGUCCUACCCUUGCUGCAUUCAGAGAGAUGAGUCCUCAUUCAAG